AGCCCGGGUCUGUAGUGACGCCUCUAGCACUGCAAUGCAGUGCCAUAGACCGCUGCGCCACUCGGGAGGCCCAGUCCAAUGAUUUUAGCCUGACAGUGGCCUUAAUAAAUAUUUGUCAUUUUACUGUUCAGCUGUUCAGUAGAUAGACACGUUAAACUACUGUUGUGAGUAAACGAAAAGAGAGUAGGAGUGUGCUGAGGACUGAGGGGAAUUAUAAUACAGGAGUGAAUUGGUGUUGAGGUUAUCACAAUAAUUUAAAACAAAAUACUGUUUGACCAAUACUUUUCUUGUUUCACCUUUAUUUAACCAGGUAAGCCAGUUGAGAACAAGUUCUCAUUUACAACUGCGACCUGGCCAAGAUAAAGCAAAGCAAACUUAACUGUUAACUCAAAGUUGUACCACGAGUGCAGGUGAAUGUUACUUUGAAAGAAGCUUUCACACAUUCAUUUUUUAUUUGAUACAGACAUAUUUGAAAACUGGACAGUUAUGGCUGGGUAAGGCCUGUUACGAGGUGCAGAGAAGCACUUGGUAGUGGAUCCUCAUAGAAAAUGUGAAUAAAAACAAUUGAGAAUGUCGAGAUUGGUUUGCUAUUAUUUAAUGUUUAGUGUAUUUAGAAGAAGAGGGUUGACGAUGUCUGGGUGAUUAGUGAAUUUAAUUGUUGGUGCAUUCAAAGGAAGCUAAUAUAUUACAAGUUAAUAUGUGCCAGCAUUGUUUGGACCUGGUAUGAUUUGGUUAUGAUAUGCUCACUGCUGUCGCCCCUUGCUCCCAUCUUAGGUCUCUAUAAAAGUGCCUCCCCAGACAAACUAAGAAAUCACUGAUAAUAGUAUAAAAAAGGUCAAAUUAGACAAAGCAGUAUGUUUUUCUGACUGUAGAUGCAUUUGUUGAUGUUGAAAAGAGCUAUCUGGCAUUUCAUGAAGACUUGCACAAUCAGUGCAACCGUCUGAAGCAUUCCACAACUUUCUGUCCAUACAAUGUUCAGGUUUUUCAGGGGAAUUCAUUUUAUCAAUGAUCUCAAAAGGAUAUCAGUUAUUUUUCCAUUGGUAUGUUGUAUUGCUCAAUAAAAAUUGCAAUAAUGGAAA